AAUAGAUACCCUGGUAGUCCACGCCGUAAACGAUGAGUGCUAAGUGUUAGAGGGUUUCCGCCCUUUAGUGCUGCAGCAAACGCAUUAAGCACUCCGCCUGGGGAGUACGGUCGCAAGACUGAAACUCAAAGGAAUUGACGGGGGCCCGCACAAGCGGUGGAGCAUGUGGUUUAAUUCGAAGCAACGCGAAGAACCUUACCAGGUCUUGACAUCCUCUGACAACCCUAGAGAUAGGGCUUCCCCUUCGGGGGCAGAGUGACAGGUGGUGCAUGGUUGUCGUCAGCUCGUGUCGUGAGAUGUUGGGUUAAGUCCCGCAACGAGCGCAACCCUUGAUCUUAGUUGCCAGCAUUCAGUUGGGCACUCUAAGGUGACUGCCGGUGACAAACCGGAGGAAGGUGGGGAUGACGUCAAAUCAUCAUGCCCCUUAUGACCUGGGCUACACACGUGCUACAAUGGGCAGAACAAAGGGCGGCGAAGCCGCGAGGCUAAGCCAAUCCCACAAAUCUGUUCUCAGUUCGGAUCGCU
rnacentral:rRNA from 1 species